rnacentral:pre_miRNA from 1 species
UCAGCACAGUUAAUGGCACUGGAAGAAUUCACGGGGUAUUUUUAAUAUAUAUCUUCCCGUGAUCUCUUAGUGGCAUCUAUGGUGCAGG